CCAGGUGCCAGCCCGCCCCCCAAAAAAGAUCAUGAGACAGUGUAGCAUCAGCGUUUCAGGGAUUAUGGAAAAUUGCAACACACAUCUGGCACCAGGCUUCACACUCAAAGACCUUGCCCCAGCACCGGCGAAUGUAGCUGCUUUCCGGGGUCUGCCGAGACCAGAUGGCUUCAACAGUCUCUACCAAAUGCCCUUCCAGCAGUGGAACCGCUUUUUCCCAUGUGGCCCGAGAACCUCCCGGACCCCAGUCUGUUCCUAGGGAUUCACCUUUCCCACCAAAGCACGACCAAGUCUUGAGCUGGGGAGUUGCAGCCUUUGGGCUCCCCUUGUUUACAGUCUUAAAGGAAUUUAAACCCUCUCCUUUCUCCUUUCUCCCUUUUUAGUUUAGUCCCUGCAGCUGUUUCCAAUUUUCCACUUUCUCCCCAGCUGCAUUUGGGAAAGGGUGCUUUUUCUGUAUGCUUCCCUCCCCCCCAGUCUCUAUCCUCUCUCUGCCAGCAAAAUGGGUUCCCUCCCUUUCGUGGCUUCUUCCUCCCCAAGUUCAGCUCUUCGUGUUGCGUACCUGCUGAAUUCUGUGGUUCAGGUUGUGCAGAUUGUUGUGUGAAUCUUCCAAUCAGUUUUCUAGGUGUGUAGGAUGGUUUAGUGUUGGUCUGGAUGUAUUUCAUGGAUGCAAGACACACAAAAAUCUUCCAUGCAAUUCCGCCAUCAUGGCUCCUCCUCCGCAUCACCCCAUCAUUCCAAAAGGUAUAGUUUUUCAUUUCACAUAUCCUAAUAUCAGCUGUAGAAAUUCCAUUGAUUCUCCUUUAUGGUUUCUCUUUCUCCCCACAUUACAUAUAUGUUUUGCUUUAAUUCCUGAGCAUAUUUUUAAUGUCUCUUUCACAUUAUCAACUGUCAUCCGGUGGUCUUUUGCUGUGGACUGAUUUUUUCCUAGUUAUGAGACCCAGUUCCCUGCUUUGCAUAUUGCAUAGUUUUCAUAAGAGGCUGGUCAUGAGACUAUGUGUUGAAAGUCUUGGUUUUGGUAUGCCCCUCUUAUGAAUGCUGAAUGUCAUUUUGGAAAGCAGUUAAUAACUUGUGAGUCAGCUUCGUUUUCUCCAGGCUUAAUGUUUUUGUUGUGUUAAGAUGUAUUUACCAUUGUCUAGAAAUAUUUUUAAGCCCUGAUGGACAAGUUGUGAUUAGCAUUUGCUCUAGAGCCUUGUUGUUAGUUGUACCACUGACGUGUGACCUUUGAUGGGAUUUCAUGACCUAUGUAUUGAUUCAUAUUGGUGUGUUAUAGUGAGUGGUGACUCUGAGUGACACAUUUGGCUUUGUUCCAGUUGACUCUUUCAGUACCAUCAUGACUGUACUAUAGAUAUAUCCCAAAUAUUAAUUUUCCAUCUUGAAGAAAAGUUAACAUGUUUUCUUUUAAAACAUGGUGUCCAGGCAAUGAUGUCAGGAGGGCUAAUGAGAAAGCCAUCUGUGAUUGGCCAGCUGAGCUGCCAGGUGAUUGGUCACAUGAUCAAGGCCAACCUGAGAGAAACCUGAUGAUUGGCCAGAUAUGGUUUUGACAUCACAAAAAAGCAAUGUGAUGAACCAGGGCUGUUAAUAAAGGCAGGCAACAACUCAGGCCAUACCGAGGAAAGAGAUGGCAAUUCCACCACAGCUCUUCCUGCUGUUCCUCACAUUAUCUGCCCUGUUCCCUGCCAUUGCUAAUGGCAAGAAGUGUGCUCACUCUUGCCUGAGGCCUCUUGUUGACAUUCUGUACUCCACAUUCAUGUCUGUGCUUACCUUUCUGCCCCUCUGUAGUUCUGAGGGUCUGCAUACCCACACCUGGUAACUCCAGGACCCACUUCCCACUGUAAGGUUUGCUGGGCCAGUCACCUAUGCAUUUCCAUUUGGAAAGUGGGUUGGAGCACUAGUUAUGAUAGUACAGUGGAUUCUCAGCCAGAUGGGGAGAUCCCCUCCCAAACCUCUGUGAUCACAACCAGGGUCAGCACAGGAAACGCAAGGCCAUGUCCUGAGGGAACCCUGAACACCCUGCUCCCCCUGGGGUCCUCCAACUCAGCUCAGCAUAGGACACAUAAAUGCUCUGCACAUAAGGCUGACCCAGAUGUCCACAAUGUGGACAAUGCCCACAGACACCUGGCAAAGAGGGGAGUUGUUGACACAAGUAAGUACUGGGAGGAGUCACCACAAGACUGGACACAGUGGGGGUCUUUGGAACACAGAACAUGAGCUGUCUGAUCCAGCUCAGUGGUGGAAAAACAAAUCCCCAAGACACUGGAGUGACCAGAAGCCAACAGAGCACAACCAUUCCAACCCAGAAUAACACAGUACAAUUGAGUCCCCAGAACACUGGGUUUGUGGGGAGCCACUCUCCGAUGAGCCCUGCAUACCAGCUCACUAUUGGGCAACAGAGUCACCUGGAAACCGAUCUGACAAGAGGCCACUGAACUAUGAGAACUUCAACCCAGGAGAGGGGGCAAUUGCAUGGCCAGGACACUAGACUUUCCAGGUGCUUUCAGAAAACAAGCAUUCCAAUUGAGAAGAGAAGACUGCAAUCAAUUCUCCAGAAUACUGGUCUUGCCAAGACCCAGCAGACCAUGAUUACUCCAACCCAGCUAUAUACUAGACCAAGGAGUCAUCUGGACAGUGAGCUCACCACAUGUCAUGGUACUUGGAGCCCAAAAAGCCAUCUCUGCACUAGGCUGCGUACUCACCUGGACAGUGAGCUCACCAAGUGCCCUUGGGCCUGGAGCCCUCCAACAGAGCAUAGUACUGGACAAUCAUGUCUCCAGAAUACCAGGCUUUCCAGGAGCCUUCAGACUAUGAGCCAUCCAAUUCAGCUCUGCAUGAAGCCAAGUUGUGACCUGGACAGUGGACUCACUACUUUCCCUGGGACCUGGAGGGCUCCAAAGCAUCUCAAUACUAGGCCAAGUACUGUCUUAGACAGUGGGAUCACCACAUGCCUUUGGAUCUGGAGCCAUACAAUUGAGCAGAGCACAGGAAAAUCAAUUCUCCAGAACACCAGGCUUUCCAAGAGCAAUCAGACCAUGAUUCCUAUAACCCAGCUCUGAACUAGGCCAAGGAGUCACCUGGACAACGUGGUCAACACAUGCCCUGGAACAUGCAGCCUUAAAACCUAGUUCUGCACUAGGCCAUGGAGUCAUCUGGUCAGUGAGCUCACCAUGUGCCCUUGGAACACGAGCCUUCCAAAUGGACUGCCAGGGCAAUCAAGGCUUCAAAACACUGGGCUUGCCAGGAGACUUCAGACCAUCAGCCAUCCAACCUAGCUCUCCACUAGGCCAAGCAGUGACCUGGACAUUGCGCUCACUCUUUCCUGUAGACUUGGAGGCCUCCAAACAGGUCAGGACUAGGCCAAGGUGUAUCAUGGUCAGUUGGCUUAUCAUGUGCCCUUGGAUCUGGAGCACUCCAAAAGAGCAAAGCACAAGACAAUCAAAUCUCCAGAACACUGGGUUUGCGAAACCUUGACUACAUGCCAUCCAAAUCAGCUCUGCUCUUCCCAAGGAGUCAUGUGAACAGCAGGCUCACCAUGUGACCUUGUAGCUGGAGCCAUCCACCAAUGCUCUACACAACAUCAUGUAGUCACUGGGAGAGUGGGCUCACUAUGUGCCCUUGGACAUGGGGCUCUACAAGAGAACAUAGAACUGUUCUAAUCAAUAAGAUCUCAGGGCAACUGAACACAGGGCUGGCCAAGUGGCUUCAUUCUAUGAGACCUCCAUACCCAGCUCAGCACUGGAGCCACAUGUUCACUGGACCUGUGGCCAAACGGGAACCUUCAAAUCAUAAGCCUUCCAUCUCUUCUUAGCAUUGGUCAAAAAAAGUCACUGGAACACUGGCCUGACACAACCCGGUCUGACUGGGAGCCCUCCAACACAGCAGAGGAGUGGGAAAUUGAGUUCCCAGGACAUCAGUCCCACUGGGAGCCCUGCCACCCCAAGCCCUCUAUUCUAGCUUGAAACUUGACCAAUGAUUACCCUGGACACUGAGCUAACUGGGGACCUUCAACCAAAAUCUCCACAUCCUAGCAAAGCACAGGAAAACUGAAUCCCUUAUCACCUGGGAAUGACUUCAACCUUAAGUCCUUGUGGCCUUUAACCUGUGCAGCCUUCCUCUUUUGGGGGAGUCCUCCUCUUCAGAAGAAACCAACGCCAUGCAAUAAAAGAAGAGACAGACCAUUUGCUUGAAGAUUUUGUACUGAAACUCAUGGAAGAACAUGAGCAGGGGAACUGGGAGGAAGUUUUAGAGGAGACCCAGGCCCUGAAUCCAGAUUAGUCAUUGAAAGAAAUCCUCCAGAUAAAGUAAAGUUGCUCCCACCUGGAGAGAUGGAGGCCAUAGAAGAACAGGCUCAGUGGUGGGGAGGGGGACAGGUUCAGCUCCAUGAGGUAGAGAGAUUCUUUGUGCUCAUGGAGGACUUACUGGAUGCUUUUGACUUCCAAGCAAUAUUCAAGGAGUGAAGUCCCCCACCCACAAAGAUGGAAUAAAAGGAGAGCUUGGAAAAGUGGUCAUCUCCAGGAGUGGGGGCAUGGCAUAAGUGUAUAAUUUAAAUGAAUUUUAAAUAAAUAAUUUAUGAUGAUAUUAUAAGAAAAAUUAUGAGAAAUAAUCCCUGGGUGAUUGUGAUGUGCAGACUGGCUCAGUCAAUACUGUGCUUUAUGACUCAUAACAUCGUUAUGAUGGUGGGCAGUAUCUACAUGGCUCUGAGAAAGUGUAAGUGAACUACAGGGAGAUGACCUUGAUAUCAACUUGCCUGUCCCCAUGAGCACUUUCGCACACUCUGACUUCUCGAACCCAAGGUCAGUUGAUCAAAUCAGCUCUAUUCUGUUAGAAAGAAUAAGAGAAGCAAUAUGUCUGCACACAGGUAUUUAUGCAUAAAGCAUUUCUGUCCUGAGAUGUCCCAGCCAGGUUGUUGCUAAACUUGAGUUUGGACCCUGAUGGUAUGGCUUCAAACUCAGGCCAUGGCAACAGGUGUAUCUACACUUCAGUAUCUUUUCUCAUGCAGGCCUUUGAAGAGCUAAUGUCACAAGGAUACCAGGUAACCAGAGAGGAGGGAGGCCAGGGGCACUGGAUCAUUCCCUGCCUCUGCUUGAGGAGGUGCAGUAAGCAGAGAGUGGUGUGAGGGGCCAUGAUGGUGGGUUCUGUUCUGACAAAGGAAGCACUGCAGACUUGGGGGGACACAUGUGGGAUUCAAAUUGGGUGCUUUAGAUUCAGAGGUCUUGACAGAGUAAGGCAGUUUGUGAGAGAGGAGGAAACAGAUGAACCUUGGCAAUUAUAGGGUGUGCAUGAGCAUGAAGGAAGUGGUCACUCUCAAGAGGGAUAGCUAAGAUUCCAUGAUGAAUUGGGCACUGGGUUUAGAAGGGAUUUCGAGGUCAAGGUUCCAGUCUCAAACCCUCCUUGGAAAUGGUCCCUCUUAGUUGCAGGAAUGUGGGGUGGAAGCUCAAGUGAGGUGCAGAACCAGUGUAGUGGGGCCCACCUGUGGCUCCACCUGAGAUUCAAGGGAAGUUCCUAGUGCAGUUGGUUGUCAGCUCAGCUCAAGACAUUGUUCUCCUAGCCACUGGGAGCCAUGAGGAAACUAGCUGUGGGGGUGGAACACGACCUUCAGGAGGACGUAGGAAGUGGAGGAUUCUGUCUUUAAGAUGGAUGGUGUCUGAGCUGACAUGAGAGCUGCUGCUUUUAAGAGCCUGUGGGGAGGCUGGUGGAGUCCAGGUCUUAGAUGUAAGGGGGAUGUGUGUUGCUUAUGUGAUCCCAACACUUGGAACAUCCUGUGCACGGCUGCUCAGACCCUGCUCAUCACACCCUGGGUUUCCAGAAACAUCAGACUCCUGGUUGAGCUGAGACCCCAGAGAUUCUCACCCCCUGAAUCCCCAUUCCUUCAUGUGUAGAAUGUGUACAACUUGGGUAGGAGGUGAUUGUAUGAAUAAGAGCCAGGAGAGGGCAAGUUUGUGGAGGGGAUCCACAGAGCACAGGAAAGAUGGUGUCCAAUGGAUGGAGGAAAAGUGGAAGGUCCACUUUGAUCCUGGCUCUUUCUUCCUAAUGGGAAAAUUUCAACUCAGAGGAAAGCAGCCUGGGUUCUGCUUCUAUCCGACACCUGGCCUACCCACAUGUCUACCCACAAUACACAGACACAGUAUACAACUGUCAUGACUCUUAUGUUUUGAUGAUCUUCAGAAAGGGAUUCUUCUGUGUCUUUCAUGCCAUUUCAUGUGGUUCCUUACAUAUCUCGUCAAUAUCAACUUUGGUACUAGGCCUUGUUAGAUUCAGUUGAAUUGUGAAUAGAAAAUGCCUAAUAAUCACCAGUGUUCUGAAGCCCAUUGUUCACAAUGGACAAUUGGUAAUGUUAAGAUACUCAACAAAAUGGCUCUUUCAUUUCAAUCUGCAGUCAUUCAGAUAAAAGGGGUUUGCAACCAUUUCCAAAAUUUUGUUAUAAGGGUUCCAAUGUCUACAUUCCCAUAAAAUUCAAAUAACCGGUAUCGUGUAAAGACAUGCCAGCUUCUUUGCAUAUAAUCCUAUGUUGUUGUCAAUGCUAGGUACCUGUAGAUUGACAUUUAUGUUAACCACGAUGAGGUUUUCCACCAAGGUCACCUAUGUUAUUUGUACAUCCCUUCCUUUAUUUAAACCUACCUCAGGAAAACAGUGUUUGCAGUUUUUGUUUGUUUGUUUUCUUUGUUUGUUUGUAUGUUUUCAUAGACGUCAGCCAAAUAUAUUCAGUAUACAUGUUACAAUAAUGUUUCUGUUUCCAAAUACUUUCUUCCAAGACUGAAGAAAAGGUGAUAUAAUUUUACUCUGGAUUUCAAUUUAGCGUUCUUUGAUUUUUGAACACUAUAAUUCUGGUGUGUGUGUGUGUGUGUGUGUGUGUGUGUGUGUGUGUGUGUGAGCAGCCUGGAGAAAACAGAAAUGCCCUUCAUUUUUUCUAUGUUUGGAACACUUUGAGGUUUAUGUAGCUAAGAGUGAGGAUAUUUAAUGAUAACAGCACUGGAAGGACUGGGUUUACACUGCAGUGAUCCAAGCACUUGUCCAUCCGAAACACUCUGUGCUCACGUACGCACAGGGAGGGGAGUUCUCAUCCACUCACUGCCUACCACUCUGAUUCCAUAUAUUCCAGGCGCAGGCAUGACAAAGGGAACCCUGAAGUGUGCUGUAGUCCAAAAAUACACCACCCCACUGUGAGGACUUUAGUAUAAACAUGUUAAAAUGGAUUGAAAAUCAGUGCUCCAAUUCAUCAGAUGUGUGUAAAUAUCCUCUCUGUGGAUGCCUUUUCCUUCCCUUUCUUUGUAACUUUACCCUAUAUCUGUGUUGCUAGCUGAUCAAAGCAUCUGACACAGGUGGUGUGUGUGAGUGUUGGUAUUUAUUCAUUUCUAUGAUCAUGGCUCCUAACUGAAAAACUGCUGUAGAAAAGUGUUUUAUAUAUCUCUUUCAUAAAAACAUUAAAUUAUGUUUUUUUUAACGUCUAUUUAUUUUUAAGACAGAGAGAGACAGAGCAUGAACAGGGGAGGGGCAGAGAGAGAGGGAGACACAGAAUCUGAAACAGGCUCCAGGCUCUGAGCUGUCAGCACAGAGCCCAAUGCGGGGCUUGAACUCACGGACCAUGUGAUCAUGACCUGAGGCAAAGUUGGACGCUUAACCGACCAAGCCACCCAGGCGCCCCUAAAUUAUGUUUUACCAAAGAACCAGUUGUACCUAAAAAAGAAAACUGUCUCAUUUCUUUGUUUAUGGUGGUCAAUAACAAGCCAAAAAGAUCAUUUUGGAAAUUAUUAUUGUUAAUUAUGAUAAAUUACUGAAUCUUGCUGAAAGCCACAAAUUGAUAUUUUGUACCUGCCUGCUUCUUUUUGCAGACUUGAACUUAUACAUAAGACACCUCCAAGAAGGUAAAUUCAAUUGAAAAGUCACAAAUUACGCUCUUCAAUUGCCAGCUACUUUUAAUUAGAAUCCAAAAUUAUUUAUUUAUUUGAGAUAGAGAGAUAGAGCAGGGGAGCGACAGAGAGAGGGAAGGAGCAAGAGAAUCCAAGCAGGCUCCACACUGUCAGAGCAUAUCCCGAUAUGGGGCUCAAACACAGGGAAUGUGAGAUCAUGACCUGAGCCAAAAGAAAAUGCUAGACGCUUAACUGACUGAGCAACCAAGGCGCCCCUUGCAGUGCAUAUUUUCAGUACUGAGAGAAGUAAAUUGGGCAUUUAGACACACGUGUCACAAGUUUUGUGUGGGACUUCCCACCUGAUGUGUUCUGCGUUUUAGUGUGUGUAAUGAUGUAGUGUUAGUGCACAUUAGUGUAUAUGCCAGCAUGUGUACUUACGUCUGCUGUUUUGUGUGCUAAUGUGUCCUGGGUGUGCCAGUGAGCCUACAGCCAGUGCUAGCGUGGAAACUUGUGUAUACUAGCAUGUGUACUUGUGCCUGCUAGUGUGUGUGAUAGUAUGCGUCCUAGGUGUGACAGUGAGUGUACAACUACUGCUUGUGUGUGCUCAGGUGUAUACUAGCAUGUGUACUUGCAUAUGAUAGUGUGUGUGCUCAUAGGUGUACUCGUGUGAACUAAUAUAUGGGAACUAGUAUGUGUACUAGUGUGUGUUAGUGUGUAUUAGAUGUGCUAAUGUAUGCUAGUAUGUACUAGUGUGUAUUCUAGUCGGUGCCAGUGUGUUCACUAGUGUGCACUAGUACUAGCAUAUGUGCUAAUGUGUGAUAGCUUUGCAAGUCUGUGUGCUAGCAUUCGUGCUAGGUUGAGUAUAACAUGUGUGCUAUUGUGUAUUAAUGUGUAGUAGUAUUUACUGAACAUACUACUAUGUGUACUGACAUACACCAGUUGUAUACUAUUGUGUACUAGUGCAUGUACUAGGUGUGUACUUGUAUUUGUCCUAAUAUGAGUACUAGCUUGUGUGCUUUUGUGUGCUAGUGAGUAGUAGAGUGUGCUAGACAUGCUAAUGUGAUCUAGUGUGUAUAAUGAGUAGUAAAUUACACCAAUGUUUAUACUAGCAUGUGCCAGUUUGUGUGCUAGUGUGUGCUCAUGGACACUCAUUAGAAUAAAGGAGGAUUGCACCACAAAUACCAUCAUGGCAGCAUCCCAGGAGGAUGUCCAGGGCACAUAUGAUGUCAUAGAAGACCAGCCAAUCAGAAUUCCCCCAACCUGGGGCUCUCAGGUGGGCAAUGAUCCUUGGGAGUGAGGACAGAGUUUGAAGCAUGAGACCCUCCACCCCAGAGUUCCCAUGGUCACAGGCUCAGGACUCUCCCCACAGCCGGGAUGUUGGCAUAGCUACUUUGGUUCUACCACUUGAAUCCCUCCCUCCCACCUCCCUGCAUGGAUCCUGCCAGCUGAGUUUGCAGUUACCUUCUUCAGGUUUCCAUCAUAUCUCUGCCUUCAACUCAUCUCUGCCCUCAACUCAUCUCUGCCUGGGACAUUGACAUGCCUGGCAUCGCAACUCUCCUGUGUUUUAUCUCUGGUGCAUGGCUGGUAUUAACAACUCCAAAUCUUACGGGACUCAGCAAGCUGUGGACCCAAUCCCCUCCUCUGGAGGGGAGCCUCUCACCACUACACAUGGUGCCCUUCUGUGCCGGAAAAACAAUUGCAUGCCCGAGCAAGGGCCUGGAGUUUAUGGUAAAGCACAGGGAAAUCUGUGACCAGGUUAUGUACCCACUGUGGGGGACUCUGUCCUUGCUGUUGAACAGUUGCUCAAAGGUACCAGGGGGUCUUUUGUUCUUGAGAGACUAUAAACCCUCUUCCAAAUGUACUCCAGGAAGGGGAACAUUCUCUGCCAGUGCAAACCAGGAUUUCCCCACCCACGGCAUGCUUUCUGCUCUGGGCCUCUGCCCCAACCCCAGGAGCAUUACAUCCCACCAGGUUUGAUUCUGGAAAAUGACACACACUUAUGAAAUCUCAUAAUUUGAGCUCCAAUGUUUGCAAAAAUUUGCAAUAUUAAAUUCCUCCCAAUUCCCAAGUUAAA